rnacentral:lncRNA from 1 species
UCUUUCUCCCUACGUUACAAAACGUGUUCCUGUCGUGUUGGUUUUAUCAGGACAGAUCUCAUAUAUCGCAGCAACAAAGAUGGCCCCCAGGAGUUCCAUGGACCCUUAUUUCUCAUCAUUUAGAAGGAGAAAGCACCUCUUUCCUCAGUUCCUCUCUUCAGGACUCCCAGUACCCCUGCUUCUGGUGACAGCCCAUGGCAGGUGGGGAGGACGUGCAGAUGGAAAGAAUGAGAAGGGCAGGUUUGGGCCCUCAUGGGUGACAGAAAAGUACCAGAGUUCUGGUUCCUCUUUGAACACACAUGUUCUCUGGGUUUCGCCUUGCAGCCCAAGAAGAGAGGAGGCUUGGAAUCACCACACUUCCCACAGCAAGGGCAAUCUUUAAAGGCAGUAAGGUGUGACGCUCCAGACUGGCAGCUUGGCAAGACAGAGCCCAUGGAUACCAGCACACGGGAAUCUGGACGGCUCACUCUGACAGCAGUCAGCACUGGGAACAAAAGGAAUGGAGGGAAAAAAGCGCAAAUGUAUUUUUACAUAUUGUAGGCAUAUGGCCACAAGACCAGCAGAAAUAUAUUUAAUUACCAAUUGCACGCAUUGAGGAGAAAAACACUGGAAAUGGGGGAAAAACUGUAUACACAGCAAUAUUAUUCUAAUUUAACUUUUCACCUCAGUUUUUUUUUUCUUUCUUUAAUUGAAAAUGGAAGGGAAUGUGGGUUGGAAUCGCAAAGGGUUAUCUUCUGGAAUUCUAUCAAAGGUGAUGUGGGAUUUUGACAUGCCUUCUUUAACAGCAUAACAUUAUAGAAAGAAAUAGGAAAGUUUUCUUUUAGUUAUUUUAAUUAUGAAAUAAUUUGACCAAGGCGUUUUGGGGGAGUGGGGCAGACCGGAUUUGAAAUAUAACAGUUAGACAAUCUUACUGUCAUGUUAAAACUGUACUUUUGAUGUUACACAUUAGGCCUCAACAAUUAAUAACCUAAUCUUGAAAAAUUAUAUUCUUGUUCUUUUCUAUGAAAGCAGAAUACUUCAACCCCAUUUAUUGUCAGGUAUUGUCCUAGCCAGUGGAGGUACAGAGGUGAAUCAGAUGUCAUCCCUGCACUGAAGAAGCAUAGCCUAGGCUGGGAGACAAAUACACAUAUAUAUAAUUAUAAUGUUAUACCAUUAAAUUAUUAAAUAUGUGAAAAUUAUCAUUAGCUAAAAUCACAAUUAUAAUACACAUAAUACCAUCUAUAUAAGGCAAUGAUGUAGCUAUAUGAAUCCAGGGGCCAUAGAGGAUUGACUCUUAGUUCAGUCUGGGUGUCAGUCACACUGGAGGACCAGGGAGGAGACCUCUUCCAGGAAAAGCUGAUGAAAAGGAUCAGUGAGAAAAAGCCCGGGAAGAAGGCAGUUGCAUUUUGCAGAAUGAAGGAGUUUGGGCCAGUGUGAGCCAGCUCCCUUCCUAGGGUGCCGGCUCAGGGAGUCAGGUAAUGGGGCCAGGGAAACGUGUGCCCACUGACUUGGGAAAGAGAGAGGGGCCCAUACCUCCUUCUUGGCAGGAAAGAAAAUCACAGCCCCGAAAAAGUAACUUGCCAGGAGCCCCCUUCUUUGUAGCAUUCCUAUCACUGACUUCCUGUUAGCCUGGGUCUCCUGUUCUCACCCUGCUCUUUGAAAUCCUUGGUGGCCAGUGCCGGCUAUGUAGGUGACCUGUGCUCCCUGGUCCCAUGGAGGUUCUGCCCAGCUGACCAGCCUUGCAGUCUGUUUCUGCAGCCCAGAUAAUGGUUCAGAGGCAUGUUAAUGUGUGCUUUGCUUUAUGUAGCAAAUAUCAUCUUGAAAAGUUUUUUUGUACAUUUACUUUUUUUUUGUAAAGCGACCUACAUAA